AACAACAAGAUGGGGUUAGGAAGAGAUUGGGUUUUUUUGAGAGAUAAAAGGGUAAAUUGUAGUGUGUUUGAUCGAUUGGAUAAACCCUUGAUCGGUCGUGGCCCUUCAUAUUUAUAGAUUGGGGAGGUUGUGUUCCAUGGAAAGUCCAAGUACAUUACGAAACACGUUUAAAAUCAGUUCAAACCUGAUUUAUCAAGUAAAACCUAGAUUCUCUAGAAAAAAAUACUGAAACAUUUGAUUUUUCCUAGUGUAUAUUUAUAAAAUGACCAUAACUUCCUAAUUCAGAGUUCAAAUCAGAAGAUCUACAUAUGUAUUUCAAUCAUCUCGACAAGUGCUAUACACAACAGUAAAGUCCAAUUUGUGAUGGGAGACUUCCCCAAAAUUGGAUGUUCCGGAUUUAGAAAACUGCAUCGGACUCUCCGGUUUGCCCAUCUGUGCCAAUUUUAGUCGUCAAUAUAUGCCCCUUUAUUUGGGUAAAUGUUGUGCGCAAAAAACAUUAUUAUGAUCCAUA
rnacentral:lncRNA from 1 species